AAUAUUGGAGGCUAACUUUGAGGAAGACAUGGAGCAAAUAUUUAAGCGGCUGCCAAAGACAAGGCAAACUGCUCUAUUUACAGCUACCCAAACUAAGCAGGUUGAGGAUUUUG